GGUGUCCCAGCCCGUGGCAGGGGGUUGGAACUGGAUGAGCUUUAAGGCCCUUCCAACACAAACCAGUCUGGAAUUCUAUAUGUGGAGCCAUUCUCCAUGACUCCAAGAAAAAGAUGAUGGUGCAUCAUCCAUCCUUGUCUACUGAGGUUUCAGCUGCUGGCACAGUUGGGGCUAGAGUCCAUGCAUCUCAAGCAACUCCCUCUAGGACAGAAGCAGCUAAAGAGGAGGAAGCCCUGAAAAGCCUCAUGGACAUUCUGCAGCAAGUAAGUUCAUAGCUUACUUAAGUGUGAGGGUGCUGAGGCGCUGGCACAGGGUGCCCAGAGAAGCUGUGGCUGCCCCA